ensembl:lncRNA
CCAAAUCUUAACCACUGGACCACCAGGGAAGUCCCUAGUCCUCAACUCUUACACUUUCUGUGUUAGAGGAGGAAAGGUUUUGGGUCUGUAACAGAACAUUUAUUAAAGUUUUGAUAUCACAAAACCCAACUGAUAAUACUUUUAUGCAUAAGCAUAUGUUUUUGUAAAGACUAUUUUGUUAGGACAAUGAAAUCCCCAGUUAUCUACGGUGAAAAGUAAGUGACUUGCUCUUGAAGGGUAAGGUAAUGAAAUUACUUCUAUACUUAUCACUAUUGUGGUAAAAUGGUUAUCAUAAGACUUAAAAGUAUUUUUCCAUUUACCACAGUGCAUUAUUAUUAUUCACAGAUUAAUAUUUUUCACAGAACACCAGUGUUCCAUGGCAUGCCAUACGAGAGACACUGUCCUGGUGGUUUCAUUGUGAUGGUCCGCAAUCCUACGUUCAUCGAAUGUGACCCCCGCUAACUUUAAAUUUAUUCAUAAAAGGCAAUUUCAGAAAAGUAGAAAGAUGUCUCCAGAAAGCUGGUUAGUUCUGUCCUUCAGUCUCUACUGUCCUUAUCCUUAGCACUUCUGGAGAAAGCAGGGCUCUGGAAGGCUGUAGACAGACCUUACAGAGACUCAGCAAAAUAAGAGGCAAUGCUCUGGCUGCAGCUGCAGCAGAGAGGUGUAGGAACAGUCAUUAGACAGGCCACCCAGAGGGCAUGUUAGCCAAGCCACUGAUUGCAACUGGCUUCGUUAGCAACAGUCCCCAGCACCAUACCACAGAUGUGCCGGGUGGAGAAGGCUGGGGCCUUGUCCCAGCCUCACCUCCUGCUGUGCUCGCAGCCACAGCAGCCUCGUUGCAAAGCUGUGUCGCCCUCUCCCUCCUGAAGAUGUAUGAAUGUGCAGAAUAUACCAUUAAAGGAUUUUCUUUAAAGGAUAAAACCAUGGUGCCCUACAAAUAUAACAUGUGUCAAAUAUUGUGUUUAAUUCAAUACGUGGGUGAACCCACAAGACAUUACAACUGGUGUAAAGAAUUCCAAGAACCACACUGAAACAGGGAAUAGGACUUUAGAAAUGAAUUUACUAGUCCACCCACAGGGCAAUAAUCAAUUCAUUUGCAUUUCUAUGGAUAUGAAUAAUUUGUAUCAUUUUCUGCAUUCUACAAUUUACAGGGUUAGAAAAUAGCUCAAAGAAUAUGAAAGAUGAAGAGAAUCCAGACAGGAUUUUCAACCCCUGGAUCAGGAAGAUCCCCUGGAGAAGAGAAGAAUGGCAAUCUACUCGAGUAUUCUUGCCUGUCCAAGGAGAAGGCCAUGGACAGAGGAGCCUGGCGGGCUAUAGUCCACGGGGUCACAAAGAGUCCGACAGGACUGAGCCACUAACACUUUCACUUUCCCUGUAAGAGGAUUAUACACAACACCUCUGACCACUGCCUUAUGACUGCGUGCAGAUCCUUCAAGCAGUGGCUAAGACGCAUCGUGGAUUAUCACCAGCUCUCUGGCUCCAUCCCUCCGCUGUGAGAGUCACACACCGCAUGAUCUUUCAGCCUGGAUCCCAGCAGGACCGGAAUGCACGGUGCAGACCGGCAGGUGGCUUCCAGCUUGGAGAGGCCACACACUGCAACAGAGCUGCAGCCAGCCCUCAGCCUUCAGCAGUGUGAGUGAACAGUCAACGUCACUGUCGAGCCGCUGAGCGUCGGGCGUUACCUGUUACUGCUGUGGAACUGACCAAUGCAGCAAGACUCGGCUUGCUAUGAAAGGGUACUGUGGUGAAUAAACAAUGUUUUCCCAUUUUCCGAGGAAAGGAAAAGGUGGCAUUUAGGGAAUUCUUAAAUAUUAAUUUUAAUUGUCUUUGAUUUUAAAAACAACUUUAUGGAGGGGUGGGAAGGAGGUUCAAGAGAGAGGGUAUAUAGGGAUACAUAUAUCUGAUUCACUUUGCUGUACAGUAGACAUUAAUACAACAUUGUAAAGCAAUC